rnacentral:lncRNA from 1 species
UCGGGAUUUAUGUUGUUUUGCCUACCUUAAAUUUCUACUUUGUGUUCCUUUUAUUGCGCACUUCCCGCCCUCUAUGCUUUAAACUCCAAACAAGAAAAAAUGAACUAUUUUCCCUCCACCAUUCUCCUCCUUACACUUCUCAUCUCCACCACCAUCUACGGCGGUGCUAACAACGACACCGCCGCCCUCCUCCUCUUCCGA